UACGAAGGGGGCUAGCGUUGCUCGGAAUCACUGGGCGUAAAGCGCACGUAGGCGGGUCUUUAAGUCAGGGGUGAAAUCCCGGAGCUCAACUCCGGAACUGCCUUUGAUACUGGAGAUCUUGAGUCCGGGAGAGGUGAGUGGAACUGCGAGUGUAGAGGUGAAAUUCGUAGAUAUUCGCAAGAACACCAGUGGCGAAGGCGGCUCACUGGCCCGGUACUGACGCUGAGGUGCGAAAGCGUGGGGAGCAAACAGGAUUAGAAACCCGAGUAGUCC
rnacentral:rRNA from 1 species